rnacentral:rRNA from 2 species
ACGAACGCUGGCGGCGUGCCUAAUACAUGCAAGUCGAACGAACUCUGGUAUUGAUUGGUGCUUGCAUCAUGAUUUACAUUUGAGUGAGUGGCGAACUGGUGAGUAACACGUGGGAAACCUGCCCAGAAGCGGGGGAUAACACCUGGAAACAGAUGCUAAUACCGCAUAACAACUUGGACCGCAUGGUCCGAGUUUGAAAGAUGGCUUCGGCUAUCACUUUUGGAUGGUCCCGCGGCGUAUUAGCUAGAUGGUGGGGUAACGGCUCACCAUGGCAAUGAUACGUAGCCGACCUGAGAGGGUAAUCGGCCACAUUGGGACUGAGACACGGCCCAAACUCCUACGGGAGGCAGCAGUAGGGAAUCUUCCACAAUGGACGAAAGUCUGAUGGAGCAACGCCGCGUGAGUGAAGAAGGGUUUCGGCUCGUAAAACUCUGUUGUUAAAGAAGAACAUAUCUGAGAGUAACUGUUCAGGUAUUGACGGUAUUUAACCAGAAAGCCACGGCUAACUACGUGCCAGCAGCCGCGGUAAUACGUAGGUGGCAAGCGUUGUCCGGAUUUAUUGGGCGUAAAGCGAGCGCAGGCGGUUUUUUAAGUCUGAUGUGAAAGCCUUCGGCUCAACCGAAGAAGUGCAUCGGAAACUGGGAAACUUGAGUGCAGAAGAGGACAGUGGAACUCCAUGUGUAGCGGUGAAAUGCGUAGAUAUAUGGAAGAACACCAGUGGCGAAGGCGGCUGUCUGGUCUGUAACUGACGCUGAGGCUCGAAAGUAUGGGUAGCAAACAGGAUUAGAUACCCUGGUAGUCCAUACCGUAAACGAUGAAUGCUAAGUGUUGGAGGGUUUCCGCCCUUCAGUGCUGCAGCUAACGCAUUAAGCAUUCCGCCUGGGGAGUACGGCCGCAAGGCUGAAACUCAAAGGAAUUGACGGGGGCCCGCACAAGCGGUGGAGCAUGUGGUUUAAUUCGAAGCUACGCGAAGAACCUUACCAGGUCUUGACAUACUAUGCAAAUCUAAGAGAUUAGACGUUCCCUUCGGGGACAUGGAUACAGGUGGUGCAUGGUUGUCGUCAGCUCGUGUCGUGAGAUGUUGGGUUAAGUCCCGCAACGAGCGCAACCCUUAUUAUCAGUUGCCAGCAUUAAGUUGGGCACUCUGGUGAGACUGCCGGUGACAAACCGGAGGAAGGUGGGGAUGACGUCAAAUCAUCAUGCCCCUUAUGACCUGGGCUACACACGUGCUACAAUGGAUGGUACAACGAGUUGCGAACUCGCGAGAGUAAGCUAAUCUCUUAAAGCCAUUCUCAGUUCGGAUUGUAGGCUGCAACUCGCCUACAUGAAGUCGGAAUCGCUAGUAAUCGCGGAUCAGCAUGCCGCGGUGAAUACGUUCCCGGGCCUUGUACACACCGCCCGUCACACCAUGAGAGUUUGUAACACCCAAAGUCGGUGGGGUAACCUUUUAGGAACCAGCCGCCU